CUAAGGGCAUUCGGUGGAUGCCUUGGCGCCGGAAGCCGAUGAAGGACGUGGUCAGCUGCGAUAAGCCUCGGGGAGGUGCGACAACCUUCGAUCCGGGGAUUUCCGAAUGGGGAAACCCGGCACGCUUCAUCGCGUGUCACCGGCUGGUGAAUUCAUAGCCAGUCGGGGGGAAGCCAGCGAACUGAAACAUCUCAGUAGCUGGACAUAAAAGAAAGAAAAUCUCGAUUCCCUGAGUAGUGGCGAGCGAAACGGGAACAGCCCAAACCGUACCAGUGUAAGGCCGCAGCCGUUGCUGGUGCGGUGUUUUGGAGCGAGCUAUUCCGUCUGCGGAGCGGAAGCGGAGUUACCAAUCCACUGCCUAGCAGAAGUGGCUGGAAAGCCACGCCAAAGAGGGUGACAGCCCCGUAAGCGAAAGGUUGUGGACUCCGGCUCGUUUCCCGAGUACCACGGGACACGUGAAACCCUGUGGGAAGAUGCGGGGGCCAACCCGCAAGGCUAAACACUCUCCGGCGACCGAUAGCGAACAAGUACCGUGAGGGAAAGGUGAAAAGCACCCCGGGAGGGGAGUGAAAUAGUACCUGAAACCGGAUGCCUACAAGCUGUCGGAGGGCUAUGGCCGCGCUUUGCGUGGCAAUGCCUGACGGCGUGCCUCUCGUAUAAUGAGCCAGCGAGUUGUCCUCGGCAGCAAGGUUAAGGGAUAACACCCGGAGCCGCAGGGAAACCGAGUCUUAACAGGGCGACUGAGUUGCCGGGGGCAGACCCGAAACCAGGUGAGCUACCCAUGGGCAGGGUGAAGUCCCGGUAACACGGGAUGGAGGCCCGAACCACUCAGCGUUGAAAAGCUGUUGGAUGACCUGUGGGUAGGGGUGAAAAGCCAAACGAACCUGGAGAUAUCUGGUUCUCCCCGAAAUUCCUCUAAGGGAAGCCUCGAGCAAAUGGAGCGCGGGGGUAGGGCUCUGGAUGACCUAGGGGGCUUAACCGCUUACCAAAGUCAACUAAACUACAAAUACCGCGCCACCUUAUCUCGGGAGUGAGAGCGCGAGGGAUAAGCUCCGUGCUCAAAAGGGAAACAGCCCAGACCAGCAGCUAAGGUCCCUAAUCCAGGCUAAGUGGUAAAGGAGGUAGAGCCUCCCAGACAACCAGGAGGUUGGCUUAGAAGCAGCCACCCUUGAAAGAAAGCGUAACAGCUCACUGGUCAAGAGACUCUGCGCCGAAAAUGUAACGGGGCUAAGCCUGGAACCGAAGCUCUGGAUCGUCCGUUUCAACGGACGAUGGUAGGGGAGCGUUCCCCGGGAGAUACAAGCCGCACGGAAACGAGCGGUGCCGGCCCGGGGAAGUGCGAAUGCUGGCAUGAGUAACGAUAAGACGGGUGAGAAUCCCGUCCGCCAAAAGCCUAAGGUUUCCUGGGGCAGGCUCGUCCACCCAGGGUUAGUCGGUCCUAAGCCGAGGCCGAAAGGCGUAGGUGAUGGCUAGCAGGUUAAUAUUCCUGCACCACCUGUAGUUCGUUGAACCGGGCGGGGACGCCUCGGGGUAGCCUGGAAGGUGGAUGGUAGUGCCUAUCCGGGACAUAAGGGCGCCCGUAGUGGUGCCCUGAAGGGAACCGGCGACCGAGCGGGUAACCAAUCGGGAGCAGGUGAUCCCCGGGGACGAGAAAAGCCGUCCGUGGAGGCUACAGGUGACCGUACCGCAAACCGACACAGGUAGGCGAGGAGAGAAUCCUCAGGCGUGCGAGCUAACCACCGCUAAGGAACUAGGCAAAUUCGACCCGUAACUUCGGGAUAAGGGUCGCCACGUUAGGGUGAAGGGGUCUCCCCCGGAGCCCGAGGUGGCCGCAGUGAAAAGGCCUGGGCGACUGUUUACCAAAAACACAGGGCUCUGCGAAGGGGCAACCCAACGUAUAGGGCCUGACGCGUGCCCGGUGCUGGAAGGUUAAGGAAGGUGGUUAGCCCCGUUUCGGCGGGGCAAAGCUUCCGACCGAAGCCCCAGUAAACGGCGGCCGUAACUAUAACGGUCCUAAGGUGAAUUGGCGUUUGC
rnacentral:rRNA from 1 species